rnacentral:tRNA from 1 species
CGCGGCGCGGGUCCCCGGCGUCCGAGGAGCGGCCGCCCGCGCGGCGGCGGCGCGCCGAGGGCGAGGAGCGGCCCGUCCGGCGCCGGCGCGCCGAGGC